GGGGUGAAUAAAGGGGGGGAGGAGAACCCACCACCCACACGCACCACCCAGCGGCACCGCGCGGGGAUAACAAACUCCAACUCCAAAAACUUCCCGAGCGCAUCGAGGAACCCGCAGAGAGCCGCACAAUGAGGAGCUGCCGGGGGGUCCCGGAGUGUCCCCCCGCCACCGCCCGGUUCUCACGUGGCCCCGCGGCCGCCCCGGGCGGACACAAAGAGGAUUCAUUCUGCUUCGGGGGUGGCAUUUUUCUGUUUGGCUUUUAAUUAUCACCAUCUCCCCCCCCCCUCCCCUUAUUUCCCACCCCCCCUUUUUUUCCUCCUCCCCGUUUGUUUGCUGCUUAAUUACUAUUAAUUCUUUUCUCUCUCUCUGUAAAAAUAAACUCCCAACAUUUAGA